GACGAACGCUGGCGGCGUGCUUAACACAUGCAAGUCGAACGGUAAGGCCCUUCGGGGUACACGAGUGGCGAACGGGUGAGUAACACGUGGGUGAUCUGCCCUGCACUUCGGGAUAAGCCUGGGAAACUGGGUCUAAUACCGGAUAGGACUCCGGACUGCAUGGUCUGGGGUGGAAAGCUUUUGCGGUGUGGGAUGGGCCCGCGGCCUAUCAGCUUGUUGGUGGGGUGAUGGCCUACCAAGGCGACGACGGGUAGCCGGCCUGAGAGGGUGACCGGCCACACUGGGACGGAGAUACGGCCCAGACUCCUACGGGAGGCAGCAGUGGGGAAUAUUGCACAAUGGGCGCAAGCCUGAUGCAGCGACGCCGCGUGAGGGAUGACGGCCUUCGGGUUGUAAACCUCUUUCAGCAUCGACGAAGCGAAAGUGACGGUAGGUGCAGAAGAAGGACCGGCCAACUACAUGCCAGCCGCCGCAGUAA
rnacentral:rRNA from 1 species